rnacentral:rRNA from 1 species
UACGUAGGGGGCAAGCGUUGUCCGGAAUCAUUGGGCGUAAAGCGCGUGUAGGCGGCCCGAUAAGUCCGCUGUGAAAGUCCAGGGCUCAACCCUGGGAUGCCGGUGGAUACUGCCGGGCUAGAGUCCGGAAGAGGCGAGUGGAAUUCCUGGUGUAGCGGUGGAAUGCGCAGAUAUCAGGAGGAACACCAAUGGCGAAGGCAGCUCGCUGGGACGGUACUGACGCUGAGGCGCGAAAGCGUGGGGAGCGAACAGG